GCGGGUGUAGUAUAACGGCUAUUAUGGGAUCCUUCCAAGAUUCAGACGCGGGUUCGACUCCCGCCACCCGCA
rnacentral:tRNA from 1 species